rnacentral:rRNA from 1 species
UACGUAGGGUGCGAGCGUUAAUCGGAAUUACUGGGCGUAAAGCGUGCGCAGGCGGUUGAUUAAGUCUGAUGUGAAAGCCCCGGGCUCAACCUGGGAAUGGCAUUGGAAACUGGUCAGCUGGAGUGUAGCAGAGGGGGGUGGAAUUCCGCGUGUAGCAGUGAAAUGCGUAGAGAUGCGGAGGAACACCGAUGGCGAAGGCAGCCCCCUGGGCCAACACUGACGCUCAGGCACGAAAGCGUGGGGAGCAAACAGG